AGCAUAUAUUACCCCUAUUCUAGGUUCUCAGGGAAGUUCACUGGAGAUCAUUCUAUGCAAGUAAUUAUAUUCUCUUGUUCAGUGUCAGGCUGUCUCUGAUUUAAUUCCUUGCUCCUUGAGGGUUUGUGCCUCUUAUCUAUGGGUUCCUUGUGACUUAAUUGUUGGGUGAAAUAAAAGUGAAUGAUCGCAUUUGUUUGACUGGUAUAGGCAUGGGAUCAUUGUGUGUUUGAAACUCAGACAUGCAGCCUGAAAAAGGUUUAUGU
rnacentral:lncRNA from 1 species